CGUGGAGGGGGCGGGGAGGUGAGGGCGGAGCGAUAUCUUUUAAAGACGGCCCCAGCACUGUGGGGAUUCCGGAAAGCGGUGCUUUCUCAUGGCAGGAUUCCAAAGUGGUACCAGGUGUUGUCUCCACAGACAUCUUUAAUCUUCAGCAUCAGGCGUCCCUUCCAUUUUCUCUACGCAUACCUCCCACUCUGGAAUGAAUGAAAUCCCAGGUCCUUCGAGGGUGGUGCAAAUUCUGCCCCCUCUGGCCUCAGCUGGAUGGGGACACAGUGUCAAUCGGUUCUAGCUCCUGCUGAUUCUGCAGAGAAGGGAGGAUGAGCUUCCAGUCUCAGGGAGAGAACACUGGAAUCUUAGAGUUGACUGCAACUUGGAGACUACACACCUCCCCAUUCUUGACAUGCCAAGUUUAAGGAUUUCUCUUGUGAUGACCGUGAGAUACAGCAUAACACAUCUGCAGUAGGCAUAUGUUGUUUUCCCAUUGCUUCUCCCUUGGUGCCUAGAUCAAGUAAUGGAACAUUACCUGCCCUCAGAAGUCUCCUUUGUGUCCCCGUCCACCAGCCACCCCCAAGGUUACCUCCGUUUUGACUUCUGAAACUAUUGCUUAAUGUUGCUUGCUUGUGAAUUGUAUAUAAACAGAAUCUUUUGUGUCUGGCUUCUGUUGCUCAGCUUCAUGUUUGUGAGAUUCAUUCAUAUAGUUAUGUGGGGUUGUACUUGUUCAUUCUCAUGGUGGUAUUCCAUUGUAUGAAUGUGCUAUAAUUUAUUAUCCAGUCUAUUGUUGAUAGACAUUGGGUAGUUUCCAGCACUAGGACAUUAUGAAUUGUGCUGCUGUCAACACCCUUGUCCACGUCUUUUGGUAAACAUAUGUACGUAUUGCUGUUGGGUAUAUAUUAGGGGUGGAAAUGCAUGUGUUCAUCAUUCCUCAGUGUAGCCAAAAAGUUUUUCAGAGAGGCUAUACCAGUUCACACUCGCACAGGCUCUGUGUUAGAAUUCUUUUUUUUUUUUAAAUUAAUGAAUGUAUUACAUUUGUAGUUGUACAAUGAUCAUCCCAAGCCAACUUCACAGGAUUUCCAUCCCACAACCCCAGUGCAUCCC